rnacentral:lncRNA from 12 species
CUUAUUUUCUGAUAUUAAAUAUAAACACUGCCUGUGUUUCUCUUGAGCAACUUUUAUGGACACUUGGCUCCAAAAGUGGAAGCCUCCUUCAGGAACAAGCUGUGGCCUCACCUCACCAGAGAGGUCUGCUGGCACUGACCUCCUCUUGCCAUAUGAGCACCUACGAUUCCCCAAUUUCGUUUUCUCAUUAUUUGUUUUAUUCUGAACGCAUCAUCGUAAGCCACCAUAUGGUUUAUUUGUAACAAAGUGAAAUACACACAAGUUAUUACCAUAUGUCAAGUUUAAAUAUUUUGGGGAGACACAAAAUUAGAAAGGAAGAGUUGCUUCUGAAGCAUGAAGCCAAAAGCAUGAGUCAUAUCUGAAGCAGGAGGCCAGGAGAAACAGGUGGCUGGAUAUUAUUGUCCGCAGGAAGGAUUGCCACUUGUGGGACAGGAUGGAAGUGGAUGUAGGUCAGGCCAGCGUCUCAGUACUGAGGCAUCAUUGCUUCACUUGAGUGGUGCCUGGCACAGCUGUAGAGCCAGCUGGGCCGGGUCAUGAAAGGCACUGGAGGCCAAAAGGAGGUGUGACUUUAUCUUUAGAAAAGUCAUUGAAGAGUUUCAGAGGGAGAAGGGGAAGAUCCGCUCUGUUUCAGAGAGGCGGCACUGGUGGCUGUGUGGGAGGCCAGGUGCUACAGGACCAGCACAGCAGUGGAGCAGAAAUAACGUCGGGGGUUUGUGGAAAAGGCAGGGUUACCCUGUGGAGAUUCCAAGAUCUCUCAAGAAUCUACACUAUAGGAGUAUGGUCUCAGGAUGAUCCCAGAUAAGUCCUCCUCUAUCUGAAUAUCAUAAAAGUAUUCUAUUUUUUUUCUAAUAUAUCCGUGUUUUUAAUUUUUUUUCAUGAAUAUUUUUGUUUAAAUCCCAUCUGGCCUUUAUUCUGGCGUUGGUUGGCAUAUUUUACGUUUUUCCAAAAGACGGACAGUUGUACUAAUAUUACCUUUUGACUAACUCAUUCUUUUUUUCUCUGGUUUUAAAUGCCACUUUCAAAAAAGCUCCAUAAAAUACACUGUACAUGGGUUUGGGGGCUCUUCAUUUUGCUCUGCUGAACUAUUUAUUUCUUCGUUAGUGAAAAUGCUUUGCCUGUAGCUUUGGCACCUACUGGGGCAGGCACACCACCCCCCCCAAUCAGCAUGUUGUUUCCAUUGCUGCUGUAACAAGUUACCACAUAGUAGCUUGAGUAAUAUAAAUCUGUUAUCUUAUAGUUUUGG